ACGGAGGGUGCAAGCGUUAUCCGGAUUUAUUGGGUUUAAAGGGUCCGUAGGCGGAUCAAUAAGUCAGUGGUGAAAUCUCUCGGCUCAACCGAGAAACUGCCAUUGAUACUGUUGGUCUUGAAUUCGGUUGAAGUGGGCGGAAUAUGGCAUGUAGCGGUGAAAUGCUUAGAUAUGCCAUAGAACACCGAUUGCGUAGGCAGCUCACUAAGCCUGGAUUGACGCUGAGGGACGAAAGCGUGGGGAGCAAACAGGA
rnacentral:rRNA from 1 species